GUGUCAGCAGCCGCGGUAAGACAGAGGGUGCAAACGUUGUUCGGAAUUACUGGGCGUAAAGCGUGUGUAGGCGGCUAUGUAAGUCGGAUGUGAAAUCCCCGGGCUCAACCCGGGAAGUGCACCCGAUACUGCGUAGCUUGAAUGUCGGAGAGGUUGGUAGAAUUCUCGGUGUAGAGGUGAAAUUCGUAGAUAUCGAGAGGAAUACCGGUGGCGAAGGCGGCCAACUGGACGAACAUUGACGCUGAGACACGAAAGCGUGGGUAGCAAACAGGAUUAGAUACCCGGGUAGUCC
rnacentral:rRNA from 1 species